rnacentral:lncRNA from 1 species
AAAGUAAAAAAUAACUGUUAAAUUUAAAUAAAUAAAUAAAUAAAUAAAUAAAUAAAUAUUCACACACAUACAUACAUGUGUUGUUUUCACUAACUGAUAUCACGUCUAUUACAUUCCAGAUGUAACCCUGCAAUGAGCUGAAAUGAUAGCCUUAAAACUAUUCAAGUUAAUUCCAUAUGCAAUCCACUGUACAAAUAUAUAUAUACACACAUAUACUAGUUAACACGUGUUACCGGAUCUCCCCCUUCAUGAACUGCUAAAAUCCAGGAUUAAAGCAAUGUUUUGAUUCGCUGAUUUGAAAACAUGAUCUCAGAUUUCAAGGAUAGCUUGGAUGAUAAGGUAGAAGCUCGAACAACAGAAGAAGACUGCGCUGGUCGUUGCGAAGCCUGUAGCGGCACUGAAACAGAUUGGGUAGGAACAGAUUCGGUGAUCCAGGAUCACGUUAAACCGACACAGAAACAGAACCCCUCACAUCGGAUUUGCAAUGAUCUCACAUAACGUUGCAAAAGGGAGAUCCCUCCGACCACAGGACCAUUCAACGUCAAGAAAUCUAGACAUUCUACACGGGUCUUGAAGCGAUGAGAAGCGAGGUCACGGCAAGUGCAAGGAGACCGAUUCGAACCUGCAGGUUCCGGUUCUGGUUCUCGUUCCGCGUCACGAGUCGAAGAUGAAGCGUGUCAGUGGGAAUGACGCGCCGGAAGUGAUCCAGCUAGGCCA